rnacentral:rRNA from 1 species
AAAUUGAAGAGUUUGAUCAUGGCUCAGAUUGAACGCUGGCGGCAGGCCUAACACAUGCAAGUCGAACGGUAGCACAGAGAGCUUGCUCUCGGGUGACGAGUGGCGGACGGGUGAGUAAUGUCUGGGAAACUGCCUGAUGGAGGGGGAUAACUACUGGAAACGGUAGCUAAUACCGCAUAACGUCGCAAGACCAAAGAGGGGGACCUUCGGGCCUCUUGCCAUCAGAUGUGCCCAGAUGGGAUUAGCUAGUAGGUGGGGUAACGGC